GGCAGCAGCAACAAUAUUAUCCUGCCAUUCACUGUUGCUAGGGUGAUUGAUGAAGAUGAAGAAAGGCUAAGCCGUGGCAGUUUGCACCAGCCUCUCCUCAUCCCAGCAGCUCGUAUGAAAUAACAACGUGCAGACACACUGGUGUGAGACUGAGCAACAAACCAGACGUGGCUGGUGGAGUCCUCAGCAAAGUGUUGGACAUGUUGGAGCACAAGCUAGUCACAACCAUCUUGGAAAUCUGACGAGAAUCUUGAUGAGAAUCAACAAAAAACAGUUGAAUCUUGAGCUUGGAUCUGCCAUCUGAGGGAUCUUGAAGUCAUUAAGUCUCAAACAUCAUCCCCGCUGCUCCGACCGUGCUCCUCCGUCCUCUUGGAUUUGGUUCUGAUAUCAAGACUCUCGCACUGCAUGGGAAUACCCAAGGUCAGCCCGUGAACCCCAACUGGAUCCACAGAACGUGUUUGGAUAGGUGCACGUCAGAGCCUGAGACACGGACAGUUUGAUGGGAACCAUCAUAUAUAUUGCAUUCUUCGGGAGAUA
rnacentral:lncRNA from 1 species